CCCCAGACUCCUACGGGAGGCAGCAGUGGGGAAUAUUGCACAAUGGGGGAAACCCUGAUGCAGCGACGCCGCGUGAGCGAUGAAGUAUUUCGGUAUGUAAAGCUCUAUCAGCAGGGAAGAAAAUGACGGUACCUGACUAAGAAGCCCCGGCUAACUACGUGCCAGCAGCCGCGGUAAUACGUAGGGGGCAAGCGUUAUCCGGAUUUACUGGGUGUAAAGGGAGCGUAGACGGCUGUGCAAGCCAGAUGUGAAAGCCCGGGGCUCAACCCCGGGACUGCAUUUGGAACUGUGUGGCUGGAGUGUCGGAGAGGCAGGCGGAAUUCCUAGUGUAGCGGUGAAAUGCGUAGAUAUUAGGAGGAACACCAGUGGCGAAGGCGGCCUGCUGGACGAUGACUGACGUUGAGGCUCGAAAGCGUGGGGAGCAAACAGGAUUAGAUACCCGUGUA
rnacentral:rRNA from 1 species